rnacentral:lncRNA from 1 species
ACCCAUCCAAAAGAACCAAAUCAAAAAGCAAUAGCGUAUGAGAACCGAAAACAAACUGUUACAGAAUCAAACUCAAGAGCAAUUUUUCAUAGUCUCAGUUAAAUUCACGAUAAUUUCGACCAUAAUAACUUGUGUGUUCUAAAAAUCCCCUCUCUGUUUUUAUAGAAAUAAAAAUCAACCUUUUGAGUAUAUACAGGAGAUAUUUGCAGGAUCCAUUGCUUGGUCCCGAUUUCAGUUCGAUCAUAAUUUCAAUUGUGGUUUAACUUUAACUUAAAACUAUACGAGAAUCAUAAUCAAAACUAAACAUAACUACCAUGAAUCAUGAACAUGGAAAAUUAGUAAAUUUGGAUAUAGAAAACCGUGAAAUUAUGUUAAAACCAAAUUAAAUUGAUCAUGUCCAUAUAAUUGAAAACUUUCACCACUUUAGGUUUGAUGACCACUAGACUUCACUCAUUUUGGACCAGACCUGAACCCUAAAACCAGAGCCGGCGCAGUCCUUUAGGCCGAACAAUCCGGCUCCUCAGUCUCGACUCAAAAACACGAGGCAGACCGAGUCCCAUGUGAGUCCGAAUUCAGUGGGGAGAAACUCAAUCCAGUAACGUCCCAAUAAUUUUGCAAUCCUAUCCGCAUCUGCGCCGGGAGAAUUAAUUGGUUGCGUGGUGUGAAGAGAGACCUGACGCUUUCGUACGUAUAAGGAAUUAAUGGCCUCAACUGAAUUGCAUAUCUAAAUUGCAUAAUUUAUAUUGAACAUAAUUUCUUAGAAAUACAAUUAAUACUCACUUCCUAAACUGCCCUUAAAAAUAAAAAUGAAAAAUUAAGGUUUCCUAUAUAAAAAAAUAAUACCUAAAAUAAAUUUAUGAACAUGUGAACCAAAUAAUAAUACAUUAAUAAAUAUGAAAUAAAUUGACAUGACGAAGUCCAUAAUGUGGCUUUGCACAGUUCACAGAGAUUUCAUUGUCUAUGUGUGGCUUUCUAUUCCUUUCUUAUCAUAUAGUGGCUAUGCGUCUUUGACAUGUCUCUCCUUGUAAAUAAGCACUCUACAGGCCUUCCACAUUCAGGAUUCCAAGAUUCACGAGUCAUUCUUUCACAUUAGCAUAAAAAACAAUUUGAAACCAUUCCAGGAAAUUUCAAAUUAUGCUAAAUUAUCGUGAACAAAAGGUAAUCCCUCAAAUCGGCUCUCACUUAUUUUAAAAAGAGAAAAACCUCUCUUUUCAUUUUUUUGAAAAAAAAUUUCGUUUUGGCUCGAUAUAACUCACAAUCGGGAUAGAUAUAUAUAUGAUUUUUUAUUUUAGUUGCUUCCUGCAAUUAGUUUUGACUCAAAUAGAGGAAGCCUCCUUACUCUGCCCGAUUGUGAGUUACUCUCUUACAAUCGGGAUAGAUAUAUAUAUAUAUAUGAUUUUUUACUUGAGUAGAGGAAGCCUCCUUCCUUUGUUCGAUUGUGAGUUACUCUCUUACAAUCGGGAUAGAUAUAUAUAUAUAUGAUUUUUGAUUUUGGUUGCUUGCAACAGUGCUUUUUAGCGAGAGUUUUUCUAUGGCUGCAUGUUGUUUUUUUCUGUACGCGUUUCUUUUUGUUAUGGUUUCAGGUUGAAGCCCUCCAGAUCUGCUUUUCUCUUGGUUUUCUUUCUGGCGAAAGGAAAGAUAGUUCAUGAAGCGGGCAAAUUUGAAAGCUUUUGUGUUGCCGAGAUUUAACAGAAAGGUGAAAAUAUAGUUUAUGGUCCGACAUAUUUUCUGCCAAAGACCACAACCGGUGUCAGCUGUGAUAGAGAAGCCAUGAUUUAACAGAAAGUCGGAAUCUGUGGAUUACUUGUCAUAUUGCUGUUGAUAGCACCUUAACAAAGGAGGUAGUAGUAGUAUAGUAUCCAUAACGAAGUGAUCUUAAAGGCAUUAAGAGGCAGUAAAGUAGCAGAAUAUAGCUAGGACUAAUAAAUACCCAGUCAAUCCCUAAAGAAAUUGUGAUGGGGAGAGAGAUGAAACAAUAAACUAUGAUAUUCACCAACUUCAUUUGUCCUAAAAUACCAGAGUUUGAUAAUAAUACUUGGACAUUGUACGACACUUCAAGACUUCAAGUAGCGAAAGCCGGCCCCUGCAGACAUGCCCAUAUAUAUGAUAACUGGGUCUGGUUAGCAAAUGAUUGCCCUAAAUCCUAAGUAGGACAUUAUUAUUUACAAAACAAAGGUACUUCAAAAAUCUUAAUUCCAGUAAUUCUCAAGGGUGAAAAACAAGAGAAGGGUGAAAAACAAGAGAUGGAGGGAUAUAUUCUCACACACUAUAGGAACAAAAAAUAUUUGGCAUGCAUAAGAACUCAAACAAAGAUAUCAUGAAUAUAGCUUUUUAUAUUAACUCUAUACGAGGUGGAAACCUUCACCGCUUCCUUCUUUUCAUGUGACUAAAAAGUACCAUAACUCGUGCUGUGCGUCAACUCACUCGUGUAGAUGAACAAAAUAAGAGGAGCAGCUACAUAAGAAAGAUCAAAGGAACGUGUCUAAAUCCUACCAAGGAAGUCCAGGACAGAUCCUUGGUUCUCUACUGCAAUUGUUGAUCAAUGCCAACCUGCAGCUAUAACAGUUGGACACAAGUGCGGAUGCAUUUUCUGUCUGUUCACUGGGCUAUCAAAAGAAUAACAUAACUGUCUCAACACCUCUUUACAAGGCUUUGUGGUUUGUGCAGCUUCUUUCCACCAACGCAUACACCAAUAAUGAGCAUAAGUACUAAAAGAAGUUUGCUAAUAACGCAAUCUAACACCAUAGGAAAGAAAGGUGAGAAUAAGUGGCACAGAACAGCUCGCAGGGCUUAUUGCUUAGGCCAGAAUUUGGGUUUAUUAGAAAUCUAGAAUGGGUAGAAGUUUAGAUUAACAAUUAGGCUUCAUGAAAGGGUGGGACUGAGAAGUAUAAAUAAACAAGAAGAUAAUAGUUUGGGGCCGCUCAAAAUGCACAUUAGACACUGUGAAGUGUGAACAGUUGAAUAAAAGAUUUUAAGCUUCACAUGUAAACUUCCUUAGGCAUCAAGGACAAGGUCCCAAAGCACGUGCGCAAUGGGACACAAAUAUCACACUACCAUUGUUAAUCUGGAGUUCCGCAUCACAUAGACAUCACAACCGAGGCAGAAUUGCAUCCCCCAGUCUACAGUAAAUCUCACUCGGUCUAAUACCAUAACUUCACUAAGAUUCAAUUCAUUACUUAAAUUCCCUAAACCUUGAUUUUGGCAACAAUAAACCCAUUAAAAUCAAAAUCCAGCUACAUUAAAAUUGGAAGCAUGAAGUAACGAUCAUGUUAAUUAUUUUUCUCCAUUCUCUGUCAUUUUCUCCUUAUUCUAAGGGUAAAAGACAUCAAAAUAAAGCCUUGUAUGGAUACUUUUUUAGAAGGAAAGAAAAUAAAGUGUGAAAAAUAAGAAAGGAAAUUAAAGUAAUGAGAAAGUUAGUUUCUUUCCUUCGUUUGGAUAUUGGGGAGGAAAAUAAGAGAGUUAAUGUUUACUUUACCCUUUUUAUUUGUAACUAAAAUACAGAAUAACAGGAAUAAAAAGUAAUUUCAUUUGUUCCUACUCAUUUCCUCUCCAAUCCCUUCCUUCUCUCUCCUCCAAUCCAAAUAAAAUAGGAGAAAAAUAUAUUUUUUGUUCUCCUAAAUUUUCCUUAUUUUCAUCCCAUCCAAACAUAGCAUACAGGCAAAAUAGGUGAUAUUCUUCUUACUUUCCAUUCUUUUGCUUUCCAUUCUUUUGCUUUUGGCACAAUUGGCUUCAACUGGGAGUCAAUCUCAAGAUCUCACAUUCCUGAAUAUGCCUCCAAUUUCACUAAAAUAAAACUCACUGGUUACUUUCUGACCCUUCUAAGCACUCAGCAUAAUUUAAAACGUUAAAACAACUGCCAUGACAAAUUUUUGGAUUGAAAUUGAUUGGGGAUAGGUUUUACCGACGGUUUACUGUUACACUAGUAAAAACUUAGUGAUUUUCAGGAGAAAAAAAUUAAAAUUUAUUGAAUUCUAUAGGACUAAUGAUCAGUCCAGUAGUCGUAGAUGAAAUUAACCCCAAAAUAAAAGAAGCCUAACGGUUGGCAUUUUAUCCACUAAUAAAUGUGACUAAUAAGCACCACAACCACAGGUAUCCAUAGACUUAAACUAUUCCUAAAGGCCUCACAUAACUAGUAUUAAACGUGGACACUUUGUUAAUGUAUGAAUUUACCAAACAUUUGGCAAGCUGUCUCUCAUGUGUCAUAACUGUCACUAAUGUUACUAUUUUACA